UUAGGAAUUUUGCGCAAUGGGAGAAAUCCUGACGCAGCAACGCCGCGUGAGUGAUGAAGGCCUUCGGGUUGUAAAGCUCUUUUAGUGGGGACGAAAUAAAUGACGGUACCCGCAGAAAAAGCACCGGCUAACUCUGUGCCAGCAGCCGCGGUAAUACAGAGGGUGCAAGCGUUAUUCGGAAUUACUGGGCGUAAAGCGCAUGUAGGCGGUUCGGUAAGUCUGAUGUGAAAUCCCCCGGCUCAAUCGGGGAAGUGCAUCGGAUACUGCCGGACUGGAGUACAGGAGGGGAGAACGGAAUUCCAGGUGUAGAGGUGAAAUUCGUAGAUAUCUGGAGGAACAACGGCGGCGAAGGCGGUUCUCUGGACUGUAACUGACGCUGAGAUGCGAAAGCGUGGGGAGCAAACA
rnacentral:rRNA from 1 species